AGUGAACGCUGGCGGUAGGCCUAACACAUGCAAGUCGAACGGCAGCACAGUAAGAGCUUGCUCUUACGGGUGGCGAGUGGCGGACGGGUGAGGAAUACAUCGGAAUCUACUUUUUCGUGGGGGAUAACGUAGGGAAACUUACGCUAAUACCGCAUACGACCUACGGGUGAAAGCAGGGGAUCUUCGGACCUUGCGCGAUUGAAUGAGCCGAUGUCGGAUUAGCUAGUUGGCGGGGUAAAGGCCCACCAAGGCGACGAUCCGUAGCUGGUCUGAGAGGAUGAUCAGCCACACUGGAACUGAGACACGGUCCAGACUCCUACGGGAGGCAGCAGUGGGGAAUAUUGGACAAUGGGCGCAAGCCUGAUCCAGCCAUACCGCGUGGGUGAAGAAGGCCUUCGGGUUGUAAAGCCCUUUUGUUGGGAAAGAAAAGCAGCAGCUUAAUACGCCGCUGUUCUGACGGUACCCAAAGAAUAAGCACCGGCUAACUUCGUG
rnacentral:rRNA from 1 species